UUGAUCCUGCCGGAGGCCAUUGCUAUCGGGGUCCGACUUAGCCAUGCUAGUUGCACGGGUUCAGACCCGUAGCGAACAGCUCAGUAACACGUGGCCAAGCUACCCUAUGGACGUGGACACCCUCGGGAAACUGAGGCUAAUCCGCGAUACGGCUCCCACGCUUGAAUGCGGGGAGCCGGAAACGCUCCGGCGCCAUAGGAUGCGGCUGCGGCCGAUUAGGUAGACGGUGGGGUAACGGCCCACCGUGCCGAUAAUCGGUACGGGAUGUGAGAGCAAAUAGCCCGGAGAUGGAAUCUGAGACAAGAUUCCAGGCCCUACGGGGCGCAGCAGGCGCGAAACCUUUACACUGCACGCCAGUGCGAUAAGGGGACCCCGAGUGCGAGGGCAUACAGUCCUCGCUUUUGUACACCGUAAGGAGGUGUACGAAUAAGGGCUGGGCAAGACCGGUGCCAGCCGCCGCGGUAAUACCGGCAGCCCGAGUGAUGGCCGCUGUUAUUGGGCCUAAAGCGUCCGUAGCCGGCCGAACAAGUCUGUCGGGAAAUCCAUCCGCUCAACGGAUGGGCGUCCGGCAGAAACUGUUCGGCUUGGGGCCGGAAGAUCCGAGGGGUACGUCCGGGGUAGGAGUGAAAUCCUGUAAUCCUGGACGGACCGCCGGUGGCGAAAGCGCCUCGGAAGGACGGACCCGACGGUGAGGGACGAAAGCUGGGGUCUCGAACCGGAUUAGAUACC
rnacentral:rRNA from 1 species